CUACGGGGUGCACCAGUGGGGAAUAUUGCACAAUGGGGGGAACCCUGAUGCAGCAACGCCGCGUGGAGGAUGACGCAUUUCGGUGUGUAAACUCCUUUUAUAUAGGAAGAUAAUGACGGUACUAUAUGAAUAAGCACCGGCUAACUCCGUGCCAGCAGCCGCGGUAAUACGGAGGGUGCAAGCGUUACUCGGAAUCACUGGGCGUAAAGCGCGCGCAGGCGGCCUUUUAAGUUGGAUGUGAAAGCCUACGGCUUAACCGUAGAACUGCAUCCAAAACUACUAGGCUAGAGUCUGGGAGGGGAAGAUGGAAUUAGUUGUGUAGGGGUAAAAUCCGUAGAGAUAACUAGGAAUACCAAAAGCGAAGGCAAUCUUCUGGAACAGUACUGACGCUGAGGCGCGAAAGCGUGGGGAGCAAACAGGAUUAGAUACCCGGGUAGUC
rnacentral:rRNA from 1 species